GAUGAACGCUGGCGGCGUGCCUAAUACAUGCAAGUCGAGCGAACGGACGAGAAUCUUGCUUCUCUGAUGUUAGCGGCGGACGGGUGAGUAACACGUGGAUAACCUACCUAUAAGACUGGGAUAACUUCGGGAAACCGGAGCUAAUACCGGAUAAUAUUUUGAACCGCAUGGUUCAAAAGUGAAAGACGGUCUUGCUGUCACUUAUAGAUGGAUCCGCGCUGCAUUAGCUAGUUGGUAAGGUAACGGCUUACCAAGGCAACGAUGCAUAGCCGACCUGAGAGGGUGAUCGGCCACACUGGAACUGAGACACGGUCCAGACUCCUACGGGAGGCAGCAGUAGGGAAUCUUCCGCAAUGGGCGAAAGCCUGAUGGAGCAACGCCGCGUGAGUGAUGAAGGUCUUCGGAUCGUAAAGCUCUGUUAUUAGGGAAGAACAUAUGUGUAAGUAACUGUGCACAUCUUGACGGUACCUAAUCAGAAAGCCACGGCUAACUACGUG
rnacentral:rRNA from 1 species